UCAAGUGUAGAAUCCACUAACUUAUGUAGUUAUUAAUUAUUGACUUUUUAUGCUUUUUCAAGUUUAAAUUUUGUAAUAACCGAGUUAAAACACACAAGAUAUCCGAUCUAGUAGACCCGAAGCAAGUAGAUGAGAAAUACGCCAAUUCGUACGUGGAAAUUCUUUCUCAUAAUUAAAGUAAAAGAAUAUAAUCUCUAUCAUCAUAAACCAAAAAAAAACUAAAGAGAAAUGAAUCCUAGCUAGCUAGGUGUUUGGUAUGGAAAGGGAAACGUUACCCGCAAACCGCGGGCAAGUCCUGUAACUUGGGAGGAUCGGGGGCCAUGUAACAGGCGAGCGUAUCUCUCCAAUUUGCAGCCUUAUUACAAGUGUGGAGAUCGAUGUUGCUGUAGUAAAGCACAUCUCUAGUGUGAUCCCUAGAGUAGAACCGUUUCUUCACUUCCGGGUCCUGCUCGUGAAACCUGCGAAUCCCUUCUUUCAUCCUCUCCAUCACCUCCACCGAGAUCCCAUGAUUCACCACCUGGAAGAAUCCCCAUCUCUCCGCAGCGUCUCCAAUCUUCUCCACCACGCUCCGCCGCGAUAUCAAAUCCAUGCUUCCUCCUUUCAGAUCCACCGUGGGGAUCGUCAGCUGCUGCGAAGGUGGUGCUGUUUGUUUCAGGCUUGUUAGAGUAUCCGGAGGUGUAUGGAACAUGGCUGGAAUCUCUUUGAUUCCCGAAGCCACAAGCCCUUUCACGCCGGUUUUUGUCUCGUCGAAAGCUUUUGCUUGACUUGAACGAUCACUUGACUCCAUCUUGCUUCUUCUUUCUUUUUUUUGCAAUGCACAGAUUUGCAUAAGUGCUAUUAUUCCACAUCUUAAUGCACAUCUUAAUACAAUUAAAUAACAAAAGGAAUCGUGACCCAUAUUAAGAUAACAAAUAAAGAAAUGAAUCGCCAAAAACAAGGUCCAUUAGUUUAUUUCAAUUCCUAUAUUAAAAUUUGGAUUCUUAAUUGGUCGUUUGUCUUUACAAGUAAGAAUAGCAUCCGGUUUGAACUUUUGUUAAUUAACUACACACUUACCAUAUUAAAUCUCAUCGCCAUUGUUGCUCGCCUAGCUCUCGAAACGCCACUAAUUAGCAAAACAACAUUUAAAGAUAUCUCGUUUGGAGGACUUUGGACAAUCGUUCCGCUACUGUUCAUUUUCUCUCUCUUUGAAGUUUUUUCCAGUUUUUACAGAUCUAGUUUUUUCUGCCUCUGUUCUUCAUCUUAGGUUAUGAAUUUGCAAGACAAAGCAGGAGUAAGGCAAGCUAUCUUCUCCGGCAUUGGAGUGGUGUGGUUUUUCCGGUAAGCGUGGCAGCGGUGGCCCUUUCUCGGUGGAUGAGAGGCUUCUCUUCCGUUUCUUCCUGGUUAUGGACGUCGGUGGAGAUCGGUGAAGUCUUUCUUGGUUCAACCACUUGGUUAGACGCUGUAGCUGUGGCGGAAGACGCUGUGGAUUGGUGGGUUUUCAGUGCGUGUUUGAUGGUUAACAAACUGGAUCUGAGAUGGCUGUUGCGGGUUCCGGUUGCUGAAGGGUUGUCUGAGCCAUCACCCUUCUUUAGCCUCCGUUUUUUGUCUCCAUCAAUCCGGAUUGAAGGUUGCUUUGCUUUUGGAAAAUUUUCAGAUCUAAGGUUUUGGAGGUCAGAGGCUUGGAAAUGCGUGGUCGUUUUGCGAGGUUGGGGACUCGACCAAAUUGGGUGGCGGAGUGUCGGAAACUGGGUUUUUUCCGUUAGGUUUGUUGCAGGUCCGGCCAGCUCAUUGGUAAGAGAUUUGCGGCAGGACUCGUAUACUUCGGCCAAUGAUCUCGUUCCGGUGGUUGUGUUGCAAAGUAGUGGGCCUUGUAUACGACGGUACUAAUAGAUCUAUUUGCUGCCUCCGUUCCACUGCCCAAAUCCACCUCUGGUUCUCUUUUUCCGGUGACCGGAUUUUUCCUGUUUUGUAACUGUGGACGAUUGUAAUUCCGGGCCUAAGCCCAAUUGGGACUGGACCUUUUUUUUU
rnacentral:lncRNA from 1 species